AUGAACGCUAGCUACAGGCUUAACACAUGCAAGUCGAGGGGCAGCAUGGUCUUAGCUUGCUAAGGCCGAUGGCGACCGGCGCACGGGUGAGUAACACGUAUCCAACCUGCCGUCUACUCUUGGACAGCCUUCUGAAAGGAAGAUUAAUACAAGAUGGCAUCAUGAGUCCACAUGUUCACAUGAUUAAAGGUAUUCCGGUAGACGAUGGGGAUGCGUUCCAUUAGAUAGUAGGCGGGGUAACGGCCCACCUAGUCUUCGAUGGAUAGGGGUUCUGAGAGGAAGGUCCCCCACAUUGGAACUGAGACACGGUCCAAACUCCUACGGGAGGCAGCAGUGAGGAAUAUUGGUCAAUGGGCGAGAGCCUGAACCAGCCAAGUAGCGUGAAGGAUGACUGCCCUAUGGGUUGUAAACUUCUUUUGUAAAGGAAUAAAGUCGGGUAUGGAUACCCGUUUGCAUGUACUUUAUGAAUAAGGAUCGGCUAACUCCGUGCCAGCAGCCGCGGUAAUACGGAGGAUCCGAGCGUUAUCCGGAUUUAUUGGGUUUAAAGGGAGCGUAGAUGGAUGUUUAAGUCAGUUGUGAAAGUUUGCGGCUCAACCGUAAAAUUGCAGUUGAUACUGGAUAUCUUGAGUGCAGUUGAGGCAGGCGGAAUUCGUGGUGUAGCGGUGAAAUGCUUAGAUAUCACGAAGAACUCCGAUUGCGAAGGCAGCCUGCUAAGCUGCAACUGACAUUGAGGCUCGAAAGUGUGGGUAUCAAACAGGAUUAGAUACCCUGGUAGUCCACACGGUAAACGAUGAAUACUCGCUGUUUGCGAUAUACGGCAAGCGGCCAAGCGAAAGCGUUAAGUAUUCCACCUGGGGAGUACGCCGGCAACGGUGAAACUCAAAGGAAUUGACGGGGGCCCGCACAAGCGGUGGAGCAUGUGGUUUAAUUCGAAGCAACGCGAAGAACCUUACCAGGUCUUGACAUCCUACUAACGAGAUAGAGAUAUGUUAGGUGCCCUUCGGGGAAAGUAGAGACAGGUGGUGCAUGGUUGUCGUCAGCUCGUGUCGUGAGAUGUUGGGUUAAGUCCCGCAACGAGCGCAACCCUUACGUUUAGUUGCUACGCAAGAGCACUCUGAACGGACUGCCGUUGACAAAACGGAGGAAGGUGGGGAUGACGUCAAAUCAUCAUGCCCUUUAUGACUUGGGCUACACACGUACUACAAUGGCGUUAAACAAAGAGAAGCAAGACCGCGAGGUGGAGCAAAACUCAGAAACAACGUCCCAGUUCGGACUGCAGGCUGCAACUCGCCUGCACGAAGUCGGAAUUGCUAGUAAUCGUGGAUCAGCAUGCCACGGUGAAUACGUUCCCGGGCCUUGUACACACCGCCCGUCACACCAUGAGAGUUGGGGAUACCCGAAGCCUGUGAGCCAACAUAUCUAUGAGGCAGCAGUCGAAGGUAGAAUCAAUGAUUGGGGUG
rnacentral:rRNA from 1 species